rnacentral:rRNA from 1 species
GUGCCUUGGUCAGAGAGUUUGAUUCUGGCUCAGGAUGAACGCUGGCGGCGUGCCUAAUACAUGCAAGUCGAACGCACUAGCAAUAGUGAGUGGCGAACGGGUGAGUAACACGUAGGUAACUUACCUCUAAGACGAGGAUAACGACUGGAAACGGUGGCUAAAACUGGAUAGGAUUAACGAAGGCAUCUUAGUUAAUUUAAAGGGGCUAUCAAGCCACACUUAGAGAAAGGCCUGCGGCGCAUUAGCUAGUUGGUGGGGUAGAGGCCUACCAAGGCGAUGAUGCGUAGCCGGACUGAGAGGUCGAACGGCCACAUUGGGACUGAGACACGGCCCAAACUCCUACGGGAGGCAGCAGUAGGGAAUUUUCGGCAAUGGGGGAAACCCUGACCGAGCAACGCCGCGUGAAAUGAAGACGUAUUUCGGUAUGUAAAGUUCUUUUAUUAAGGAAGAAUGUCCAGACUAGGAAAUGAGUAUGGAGUGACGGUACUUAAUGAAUAAGCCCCGGCUAACUAUGUGCCAGCAGCGGC